CAAAACAAGUUUGUUUUUUUUUUGUUUUUGUUUUUGAGAUUAGAGACAGGGUUUUCAGUGUUCACUUACCUUGAUUACUAUCACAGGUUUGCUGUUAAUUCAGCCUUUUUUUUUUUUUUUNNNNNNNNNNUUUUUUUUUUUUUUUAACUUUUAGUAUAAUAGUUGCAUGCAUGUCUUUUGUGUGCAAGUAAUGUUUUCUAUUAACCAAGAACCUAGGUCUCUCCAGUCACAGGUAUUUUAUUUUCAUGGUCAAUGCUAAUUUUGAAUAUUGAUUAUAAAACAUAGCAAUAGUUACAAAAUUCUUCGUCUACAUUUCUCCAUUUGAAAUAGUUUUGAUGUAAAAUGAAGUGUUAAAUAUUCUUGCAUGUUCAUCCAAUGGAAAGUUGUAAACAUUAGUUCAUAUCAGACUGUGUUUGAGAUACAUUCUCUUGCUGUGAGAAACAUGUGACUGCCGUUUCCUACAAUCAUUGUCCAAUAAGGAGAGUAAAGCC
rnacentral:lncRNA from 1 species